UACGUAGGGUGCGAGCGUUGUCCGGAAUUACUGGGCGUAAAGCGCACGUAGGCGGAUUGUUAAGUCGGGGGGUGAAAUCCUGGAGCUCAACUCCAGAACUGCCUUUGAUACUGAGGAUCUCGAGUUCGGGAGAGGUGAGUGGAACUGCGAGUGUAGAGGUGAAAUUCGUAGAUAUUCGGAGGAACACCAGUGGCGAAGGCGGCUCACUGGCUCGAUACUGACGCUGAGGUGCGAAAGCGUGGGGAGCAAACAGG
rnacentral:rRNA from 1 species